ensembl:lncRNA
UAGCCUUGCGAGAACAGUGCUGUGCAGGCAGCACUGGUUCCACCCCUACUCUGUGCUAGCCACGGGUUAAGUACACAUAGGUAAACAAAUAAUUGCCCCCGCUGUGGCUUGCAGAAGUAUGCAGGAGGUGCAGAGUAAACACAGAAGAGGAAAGAAUAGCCUGUGGGCAGGCAGUGAUGGUUGCCAAGGUAUUUGCAGGAUGUGGUUUGUGCCAGUUCCUCCCUCCCAGGAGACAUCCCGCAUCACACAACAUUUCACUCAGCUGUGUGGCUGAGCGCUGACAAACUCAAUUUGUGGAAGGUGAGCGCAAGUUGACACCAUGCUGUGGCAGUUGUCCUGAUGGGAGCCAAGGACUCAUUUCAUUCCAAGGUGGAACCCACCUUCUCCGGAAACAAGCUUGUGCACACGAGUGUAGCGGACAAGGACGGAAGACUGACACAAAGUCGAAGAACUUCUGGAGUUGGAGAGAGCAGGGAGGGAUGGGAGGAGAAGCGGACAAAGAGAAUUAAGAUAUGUUGUGUAUGUGUACAAACUUCCCCACAAUAAAUAUAAUCCUCAUGUAUGGC